rnacentral:rRNA from 1 species
UGGGGAAUUUUGGACAAUGGGCGAAAGCCUGAUCCAGCAAUGCCGCGUGUGAAGAAGGCCUUCGGGUUGUAAAGCACUUUUGUCCGGAAAGAAAUCCUUGGCUCUAAUACAGUCGGGGGAUGACGGUACCGGAAGAAUAAGCACCGGCUAACUACGUGCCAGCAGCCGCGGUAAUACGUAGGGUGCAAGCGUUAAUCGGAAUUACUGGGCGUAAAGCGUGCGCAGGCGGUUUGCUAAGACCGAUGUGAAAUCCCCGGGCUCAACCUGGGAACUGCAUUGGUGACCGGCAGGCUAGAGUAUGGCAGAGGGGGGUAGAAUUCCACGUGUAGCAGUGAAAUGCGUAGAGAUGUGGAGGAAUACCGAUGGCGAAGGCAGCCCCCUGGGCCAAUACUGACGCUCAUGCACGAAAGCGUGGGGAGCAAACAGGAUUAGAUACCCUGGUAGUCCACGCCCUAAACGAUGUCAACUAGUUGUUGGGGAUUCAUUUCCUUAGUAACGUAGCUAACGCGUGAAGUUGACCGCCUGGGGAGU